CCAGCGUCCACGCGGAGAACCCGGGCGUCACGGUCAGAGGGACCUCUGGUUCGCGGAAGGGGCCGCUGCGACCUGGGGAGCCCCUGAGGUCUUGAGUGUGUCAACUUCCUUUUCUGACUUGACUUCCGCGGGGAUCUCUGCUUCUGCUUCGCACAGAACCUUUCAUUUUCUGCACCUGCCCUUGUGUCCAUCCUUCCCUUUCUGGUGGGAGAUUUCAGCCAGUUGACACCAGUGCCCACUUCUGCAGGAAUUGACAGCUCGAAGUCAGAGCAUGUUGUGCUGUGUUUUCAGAUUCAGGGUUGUUUCUGAGGAAGAAGAUGAAUUUAGGGAAGGAGGUCUACAAUCUGCAAUCUGGACCGGGUUCUGCAGCUCUCCAAAUGGAAUGACUUUGGGACCCCGUGAUCAGUGCCUGGCUGAAACUAACUGGAGGCAUAAGAUGAAAACAUUCCUGACUCUGAUACAUUUGUUCAUGAUGACCUCCAAAUGGUAUAUGAUCAAAAAAUAAGGUGAGAAAGCAGAAAACUGUGAUGAUUUAGUUUCUUAAGAACCUCUACUUUUUUCUUCAAAAGGUAGGAUUUUCUGCUGCCUCCAGAUUCCCCAUCUUAACUGGCAUUAAGUACUUCCAGUUAGCUACACUGUCCAUGCUGAGGUUUAAUGA
rnacentral:lncRNA from 9 species